UACGUAGGGUGCAAGCGUUAAUCGGAAUUACUGGGCGUAAAGCGUGCGCAGGCGGUUGUGCAAGACAGAUGUGAAAUCCCCGGGCUCAACCUGGGAACUGCAUUUGUGACUGCACGGCUAGAGUGUGUCAGAGGGGGGUGGAAUUCCACGUGUAGCAGUGAAAUGCGUAGAUAUGUGGAGGAAUACCGAUGGCGAAGGCAGCCCCCUGGGAUAACACUGACGCUCAUGCACGAAAGCGUGGGGAGCAAACAGG
rnacentral:rRNA from 1 species